rnacentral:rRNA from 1 species
UGGGGAAUUUUGGACAAUGGGCGAAAGCCUGAUCCAGCAAUGCCGCGUGUGUGAAGAAGGCCUUCGGGUUGUAAAGCACUUUUGUCCGGAAAGAAAUCCUUGGCUCUAAUACAGUCGGGGGAUGACGGUACCGGAAGAAUAAGCACCGGCUAACUACGUGCCAGCAGCCGCGGUAAUACGUAGGGUGCAAGCGUUAAUCGGAAUUACUGGGCGUAAAGCGUGCGCAGGCGGUUUGCUAAGACCGAUGUGAAAUCCCCGGGCUCAACCUGGGAACUGCAUUGGUGACUGGCAGGCUAGAGUAUGGCAGAGGGGGGUAGAAUUCCACGUGUAGCAGUGAAAUGCGUAGAGAUGUGGAGGAAUACCGAUGGCGAAGGCAGCCCCCUGGGCCAAUACUGACGCUCAUGCACGAAAGCGUGGGGAGCAAAACAGGAUUAGAUACCCUGGUAGUCCACGCCCUAAACGAUGUCAACUAGUUGUUGGGGAUUCAUUUCCUUAGUAACGUAGCUAACGCGUGAAGUUGACCGCCUGGGGAGUACGGUCGCAA